GAUCGCGGACGGAGGGUCGCUUCUCCCGCUUGCGGGGGGAGAGGAACUUCCGAACUCCAUAAGGCAAGGCGCCGGUCCAAAGCCGUUAAGCGGCCAUAGGCCGGGAGGCCGGGGCCAGAUCCCCGGUUUACGGAAAGUGCAACAGAAAGUAUACCGCCGGAGGCCGCAAGGCUUCAGGUAAGGGUGAAAAGGUGCGGUAAGAGCGCACCGUUUGCCGGGCGACCGGCAAAGCAUUGCAAACCCCGCCCGGAGCAAGGCCAAAUAUGCGUUACGGACUGCCCGUCCUCCGCCCGCAAGGGCGGAAGCGCAGAGUGGGCCGCACAAGAUAAAUGAUCCUCUCUAUGCCGCAAGGCAUAAAGACAGAAUUCGGGGUACAGUCCGCGAUCAAAA
rfam:Elusimicrobia bacterium GWA2_56_46 gwa2_scaffold_175, whole genome shotgun sequence.